CAGAGGUAUUUUCAAUUUUUCAUCUGCCACUCAGAAAAAAGGGAGAGGGGUUGCAAAGAGAGUAGCCUCUGGUCCUUUGGUUAUUUGGGCAUGGAAAGUUGGGGUUUUCCUUUUGAUUUAGUUCUAGGAAGUCAGCGUGAAUCAGCCUUAGGUUCCCCGCCUCCAGACCCUCUUCUCCUGCCUCAGCCGUGGUUUAAACCAAACAUGCAGCGUAUUGUCUGCCUACCUCAAGGAAGGCCGUCCAAAGGCUCUCUGGGCGGCUAGGACAUCUCUGUGUUUGGACUUCCCGGUCUCUUUCUUCCCUUCUCCCUCACCAGCCAACCCUGGUGCUUACUUUCCAUCCUUAUGACAAACUCCUGGCACGAUAGGGUGGCCAGUGCUCUAGCGGUUACUCCCAACCUUGCAGGCAGUCAGACGCCGAAGAGCUGGAGGACAAAGGAAACACCCGCUGCCCCUACUCCUCUCAUCCUUCUAGGCAGCUCUCCCGGCGUCACCUGGACAUUGCUUUCAUCAGAGGCUGCUUUGAGGAAAGGAGGGGGGUCGCUCUUAGCUGUUGGCAGCUGGAUCCGUCGGUUCUGGUGCUCUGUGGCCAGAACCUUUGAACCUUCUCAUAGGACUUGCAGUAAAACUUGCUUACGAAGAACUGCACAUGGGCCUCCCUAGGAAAUCCGGGCCCUGCUUAGGCCCCUGACAGCCUCGUGUGACCCCAGACAAAGCCCCAUCUGGAGAGACCCUGGAGCACAUGCCACUCACAGCCUUGGGACUCACAGGCCUCAGGAGCAUGGAUCAAAUCAGGCCAAGCCCGGGUCCCGUUCCCCAGUGGGGGCCUGAUUGGGUCUUCUUUACUCCCAAUGUUGAGCAGAGCCAUCAAACCCAGAAACCCGCUGGGUGGACACUGGUGUGACCUGAAAACAGAAGGGCCACGCAGCACGGGCUCCACCUGAAACCGGCACCCCCUGUGCUGAAAGAAGAAUCGGACAAAGGCAAGAGCUGCAGGUGCACGCGGGACGCCCCUGCCCGUGACACGGCCACAGAAAUCUCCAGAACACAUCCACAGCAUCUCACACGAGGGGUGCGGCCUUCCCUCGGCCCCGUCAGGACGCAUUUAGGCAAGCAGGCAGGUCAUUUGUAGAAUGGACGGCCGCCAAUGGCGCAGAGGAAGAGCCUCGAGACAUGAUGAUUUGGUUUUAGAUGUAGGGGAGUUGCUCCUGUACUGUUUGUUUGGACUCAAUUAAUAGUAAAUGAUGCAAAGUUGUUUCACGUCCCCAGCCUCGCCUUCUACUUUUCCUUCUUCUGCUCUGGAAUGCCGUCAAUGCCGGCCCUGUGUGCAGCUUGCCUCUUUCUGUGCUGGUCCUGGGAGGUCUUCC
rnacentral:lncRNA from 10 species